rnacentral:rRNA from 1 species
UACGUAGGUGGCGAGCGUUGUCCGGAUUUACUGGGCGUAAAGGGCGUGCAGGCGGUUUGUUAAGUGCAGGGUGAAAGCUCCCGGCUCAACUGGGAGAGGUCCUUGCAUACUGGCGAACUCGAGGGAGGCAGAGGAAAGUGGAAUUCCCGGUGUAGUGGUGAUAUGCGUAGAUAUCAGGAGGAACACCGGUGGCGAAGGCGGGUCUCUGGGCAGUAACUGACGCUGAGGAGCGAAAGCGUGGGGAGCGAACAGG